GGAGAAUUCACGGUUCAACGUUCAUGCGAGUUAACCGAUGGAAUAUUAGACGGCACAAAUCAUGAACAAAAGUUCAAUUAAGUAUCAGAUAAGAAAGUUCAAAUUUAGAUGUUAAAAAAGGAAGCCUCAUUUUUACUAGGCCAAACAAGGAAUUUUCUUGUAGAGGUAAGGGCAAGCAGCGUAGCAAAGGAAAAAACUCCGCCCGUGCCGCCGUAGGGAGUAGCUAGCGUGACACAAAGGUGAGUGGGCGAGUAUGUGACCCGAGCAUACUACCUACGUUGCUCAUCGGGCGAGGCGUCUGCCG
rnacentral:lncRNA from 1 species